GACGAACGCUGGCGGCGUGCUUAACACAUGCAAGUCGAACGAAGUGGCGAACGGGUGAGUAACGCGUAAUCAAACUGAUCUUCAGAGGGGGACAACAGUUGGAAACGACUGCUAAUACCACAUACUGAAGGAGGGGAUUGCGUCUGAUUAGCUAGUUUGAGGGGUAACGGCCCACCACGGAGAUGAUCAGUAGCCGGUCUGAGAGGAUGAACGGCCACAUUGGGACUGAGACACGGCCCAGACUCCGACGGGAGGCAGCAGGUGGGAAUCUUCCGCAAUGGAAGAAAGUCUGACGGAGCAACGCCGCGUGAGUGAGGACGGCCUUCGGGUUGUAAAGCUCUGUUAAUCGGGACGCGGUACCGGAAUAGAAAGCCACGGCUAACUACGUGCCAGCAGCCGCGGUAAUAC
rnacentral:rRNA from 1 species